GUGGAAGUAAUUUAAGGGUAAAAUUACCGCUUCCGAGGCGGUUCAUGCGGGUUCGAGCCCCGUCUUCCACUCCA
rnacentral:tRNA from 1 species